UACAGAGGGUGCGAGCGUUGUCCGGAAUCACUGGGCGUAAAGGGCGCGUAGGUGGCGCGACAAGUCAGUGGUGAAAGUUCGACGCUCAACGUCGAAUCGGCCACUGAUACUGUUGGGCUUGAGCACUGUAGAGGCUAAUGGAAUUCCGGGUGUAGCGGUGGAAUGCGUAGAGAUCAGGAAGAACACCAGUGGCGAAGGCGACUCGCUGGACCAGCAUUGACACUCAAGCACGAAAGCGUGGGGAGCAAACAGG
rnacentral:rRNA from 1 species